GCGAACUUAAGAAGGGACCCUUUCCAGUGGAACGCGACUUCACUCUUUCCGAUUCACUCAACGCUUUUUUGGAGACAGUACGUUCACGUGAGAAUCAAAAAGAAGCGAGUCUGCGUUCCAGAAAAUCACGUGGCCAAUCUUUCUCUCUCUCUCUCUCUCUCUUCCUCCUCCCUCCCUCUCUCUCUCUCUCUCUCUCUCUCUCGCUCUCUCGCUCUCUCGCUCUCUCAUCUUUUACAACCCUCUCCAGCCUGGCUGUGUGUACGAACUUUCAUACAGUCAUCGUGGGCGCUGCGGCGUGUUGAGAUGUGCCGGUCCUUGCACACUUUGGGGAAAUCCGUGGGUGGGGGAGACUGAAAAUGGCUGAGAACAGGACGACCAAAGAAAGCAGCUCCGUCGACCCGUUUCUUCCUGCCAGCUUACCCCCCUCCCCGCUUCCUGUUCUUUGGACCUCGCAGAUGUGACAAGCCAAAAUGUCUCCAGAAAUUGCCAAAUGUGCCCUAGAGAGCAAAAAUUCACUUGACUGGGAACCACCAGCUUAUGAAUCAGCAGAUUAGCCCUGAGCUAACAUCUGUUGCCAAUCCUGCUCUUUUUGCUGAGGAAGACUGGCCCUGAGCUAACAUCCAUGCCCAUCUUCCUCUACUUUAUACGUGGGACGCCUGCCACAGCAUGGCUUGCCAAGCAGUGCCAUGUCUGCACCCGGGAUCUGAGCCAGUGAACCUUGGGCUGUGGAAGCCGAACGUGUGAACUUAACUGCCGCGCCACCAGAGUAAGAGACCCGUGAAAGUCGUAUUGUGAUCCCGCCUGGUUUUUAGCCCAUUUGUUCAAAAUACAUGGAUCAAAUCCGGUUGCUUCCAUGUGGAGUAAGUGGAUUGAAAGUAGCAACUUGAAUCUCAG
rnacentral:lncRNA from 1 species